AAAGCCGCGUAUAAUUACAACCCUGGUAAACGUAGACCGUGAUCGAGAUCGGUCAUUACAGGUGGAAGGUUACUCGACGAGGGCGAAUUACCCGGUGGAUAGGCGUUUCCCGAGAAACUGGCCGCAAUAAAUACACCGCGUUAAUCUUUUGCUCGAAGAAAGGAGGAACGCGAGGAGGUCGAGUGCGCUCCUGAGAGGGAGAUGGUCGAGCUGUUUAGCAUGGAGGAGAGAGAGAGAGAGAGAGAGAGUGGAGGGAAGAAUAGGAGGGGAAGGUCGGCGUAACACGAGCGCGGUGUCAUCGGGAAACUGCCUCGGGGGAGGGUGAGAAAUUUUUCAGAAAACGGAAAAGAGAGGGGAGAGACAGAGGGAUAGGCUUCUCCCUUGCGGCCACAAAUGAAAUUUAAACGGAUCAAGAGGUCUCGAGACACGGCGCAACGAUGCCGAGGCGCAACUUUGCAACUACUCUGGAGGAAGGAGAAGAAGAAGGAGAGGAAGAAGAAGGAGAACGAGAAGGAGGACGAGGAGGAGAAGAAGGGAGGAAAAAAAGAAAAAAAUACAGAUUCCAACCAUCGACCAGAGCGUUUCCAGAAAUGAUUGCAACGAAUUCACAAAGGGGUUCUCAAAGGGGUGGACCCAGGCUUCGUUUCAACGAGCCAGGAACAAAAUCUGCAAGAUAUCUGGAUUGUACACGACGGAGGGCGGAUGAACGAAAACAAAGAGAAUAGGGGUACAGACAAAACACUUAAAGAAGAACUAUUCUCUACUUGAGCCUGUUUGUUUCUUACUCCACGCGAACGAGAGAGCAGGCCAGGAAGUGAACGCAGCCUGUUACUAAGCGUACAAUGAAUUCCGACGCGACAUUGUACGUUAUCAUAAUGUUCACCCGACCUCAGAAGACAAAAAGCUAUUCCUCCCACCCUCCAGAUCCGAGAAUUCAUUUCUUUCACAAUCUCUCAAUGCCGUAUUUCGUUUCGUUUUGUAAAUAUAAAUGAUUUGCAUUUGAAUAAAAAAAAAAAUAAAUAUCAAUGAGACGCAAAGGAAAAAAAAAUACGAUGAAAUUGUAGAUAUACGUAUACAAGCGCGAAAGAAAAAAAAUUCAUGGAAUGUGACUCACCUAAACGGCAACGUUGUAACGUCGACGAAAAAUUGACUUAACGACGAUGAAGUCACAGUUUUAGACGAUAGACAGGGGGUAGGGGGGGCAAAAUCAGUCUCACACGCCCCCCCAAUGUCGCUCUGGACCCCCCGUCCUCGAUAUUCUAUUCCUUUGCAACGUGCUCCGUUUAGAGCACACACUUUCUCGCCACGCACCACGGACCACUCACAAUCGUCACCAAUUUUCUAUUCUCUUCUGUUUUUAUUUUCUCUGGAUCUUCUCCUCUUUAUUAUAUAGCUUUCUUUUUUUACGUUUCACUCGUUCUUUUUUUCUAAUUCUCUUUUUUUUCAAAAAAAUUUUAUCACUUCCUUUUCUGAUCUUCUAUCGAUGAUUUAAUCGAUAGACACUCGCGAGAGUCUGUUAAUCGAUUACACUGAGAGCAAGCACUGAUCAUCAGGGAUUGAAGAAACGCAUAACAUAAAACAAUAACAUCGUUCGUGUUCCUUUCACAAUUAGAUAUAUUUCUUUUCCACUUUUUGUCAUAGAUUGCCAGUUAUCACUCGUUUUUUUAUCCACUACCGAACGUGAUAAAUACAAAUAUACGCAAAUUCUUAAUUCGUCGUGUAUUUCUUUCCACACGUUUUAUCUGUCCUAUCUAUCUCUAUCUAUCUAUCUAUCUAUCUAUCUAUUUAUCUAUCUAUCUAUCUAUCUAUCUAUCUAUCUAUCUAUCCAUCUACCUAUCUUGCUCCCUCUCUCUUGUGUAUUCGGUAUUCUCAGACGCGCAGAAUCAUCAUGCGCGCCUGUUCGAUUCCUCCGUAUGUAGUUGAGUCUUCCACGGGUUUAUAUACGCGGCCAGCGAUGUGGUUCUAACGUCGUCGUAACACCACCACUGAUUCUUCUUUCGCCGUCAUGAAGUGGAAAACAGGUCCGUCGAUCCGAAAGGGAGAGGUGUCUGCUCAGUUCCGGCACAAAGACAGCCUAUCGUUGUACGUACCUAAAAACCAUUUGCGAUCGAUCAGAGGCUUCCAUGCGAUAUAACGAACGAUCGACGACUCGUAAACUGAAUCAAGAAUGUGAGUGAGAAAGAAAGAAAGAUUGCCUAACGUGCCACGAAAACUACCGGAGAGCCAGUAUGGCGCCGUCCUUCGUUUAUCUCUUUCUCUAACCCCUUUCACUCUUUCACACAUACAUGCAUACACUCUUUCCUUCUCUUUCAUCGCUUUCCAUCUCACUUUUUCACUACGUGCGUGCCACCCAAUUCUCUCCCUCUCUUUCUCUCUCUUUUCUCUCUACACUCCGAUCUUCAUUCGUCUCUUUUCAUUAUCUCUCUCUCUUCCUCCGUGUUCGUUACAUUCACAUGUAUGCAUCUUGUAAAUCUCACUCUCACCAGCACCCUUUCUUCUUCCUCACUAUUUCGAAUUAACCACGCGCAUACACGUUCGACACUUGACUGUCACCGGCGUGCAUGAGAUCGUUGAUUUAAUCAAAAUAAGAUUUCAUUGAAAUUGCGCUACGAUGAAUUCGAAAUUUCACUGGUAUAACCAAGACAUCGAGCUUUUAAAAACUGUUAGUUUUGAAAUAUUAUUUCACUGAUGAAUGUGAUGUGACAUUUUUUUAACGCAUAUCUCAAGCAACGAAAUAGGAAAAAUUUAUAUAUAUCCAAAUUAAAAUGAAUGAUAUAUCCACAAAGUAACACAAAUCAAGUGUUGGAGCAGAGACAGAGAUGGACAAACAUAAAACGCAGUUUACACGACACGAGAUACACUGAAUAUAUUCUAAUCGACGCGCGCUUACCACUUUUUCCUUUCCUCUUUUCUACCGUUUCGCAUAUUCGUCUCUUCCAAAACACAAUAAGAUACACUCGCGAGAAAAGUCACUAAAAGAGCCACAGCCCAUGAACAGCACCACCAUCCAUCGUGUCAGGGCGCCCCGUUUCGUCGCCACUGCCGGCAUGCAUACCCGGUGGUUCUUCACUGCCUCGGCGCUAAAAUGGCGAUCGAAGUGACAGCUCUCGCCUCCUCCUCACCGGGUUCGGUCGAAUAGCCGCUCUUUCGAUUCAUACUAGUACGCACCGACUAUAUUCCAUCUUUCUUUCUUUCUCAUUCUCUCUUUCCUUCAAUUCCCUCUCGCCUGUAUCUCUCUACAUUUACUCUUUACAUCUUUCUAACCUUUCUUUUUAACAGACACACGCACACUCACAUACACACUCUUAUAACACGCGGUACAACAGAAUAAGGCUUUUUUAGUUCUCUGAAACAAUAAAAUCAACCACGAAUCGAGCCGGUUUUGAUGCGUACCACGCGGAACUGACGAUUACACGUAAACGCACAGUCACACCGUGGAGAUACUUCUUGAUGGCGGCUCGAAAUCUCAGUCCCGGACGACGCCUACACCACCACCACGUACUACCUUAAUAGCUGUGCUUGCCCGGACUCACGGGACUCGACUGGGCUCCGCCAGGCUACGAUAUCCCCGCCGCACUUGCGCCAACCGGCUAUUGCUCCUACCCUUCGCGAAGAUAUACUAACCGUUCUCGUUCUUAUGCUCACCCCCAGCGCAGUUCUAUUACCCGUACAGACUAACUGAACCCUGCAGAGCUCCCACGCCCGCGAAACAGCCAAUGCUGGAGCUUGUCGGCAGGCCCGUCUAACUUCAUCCAAGGGCGCCAACCUAGCGAAUAUUUGUGCAAUAAACUAUGAUUAAAAUGUCAUUAUAAAAAAAGGAAUGAUAACUAAUAUUAAUCGUUAUUAAAAAUAUCAAUAAUGAUAUAAUUAAAAUUUUAUUAUGUAAUUAAAAUUGGAAAGAUGUUUUUAAUAUUCUAAAACAAAUAUAAUAUAUUUUUAGUUUCGUGGAAUUAAAAUAAAUAAACUUAUAUAAAUAAGUAAUCAAAAACUUUAAGCACUUUUUAUUAUAAAAAAGUAUAAAUUUUUUUACAAAAAAAGAUAUACCCGCAAAGUGGGGGGCCUAAAUUCAGAUUAUACGGAUCUAACUUUCGCCCCGUUAAGUUGAGUUGUGACUGCAUAAACGAAUAAAAUAUUCUAAUGGUUUACGUUCAUCUCUUUUCACUUGUUUCUUCGAACUUACAAAAUAAACGACAAUUAUAUCAUAUUUACAAGUUACAUUUCAUCGUAAUAGUCGAUAAAUGUGGAAAGAGAUCAGUGCCGAAUCAUUUGAUGAAGAUAUUCACUAAUAUGAAUAUCUUUUAUACGGGAUUGAACAUUCAAAUUCUUCUCUAUUUUUUUAAAAUUAUCGACUUCGUUAUUUGUUUGACUAAUAUCCAUUUUGAAAACAUCGAUAAUGUCACAUAAAAAGCUUCACUUGAGCAUUGAUUUCUUAUUGCGAAACAUUGUUCGACGACUUUAACGAUGCAAUUAAUUCUGGAAGCUUGAUCACUAGAAUACCCUGUCAACAGACGAAAUAUAUGCCUCGUCGAACCGGUAUGGUGUCGUGUGAGUCUCUUAAUUAAUCAUCACACGAUAGAACUUAACGACUUAAUCUUAAGGUAAGGUUAUGUACGAAUUGUUAAACACAUGAGUGUCACGUCGCGUCGCGUCGCGUCGCGUCAUUAACAUUAUGUGAUGGAAGAUUCAUUAAGAAUGAAAAAAUGUUAAAAUAUUGUAUAUAAAAACAUUGCAUAAAUAAAGGAAAAUAUUAUCGAAAUAAUAUUUAAUUAAAAAUAUGUUAAAUAGAGAAAUCAUAAGAAUCAUGACAUAUCAUUUUUGUUAUUUACACGAAUAGUCAACUUUAAUUCGAUUUCAUGACCAACGACGGUUGGAGAUCAAAGUUCUAUUCAGUCGAUUUCGGAUCGUUCAAUCGGCGGUGCAAAAUAUCAAGCCGUGGGAGCCGUAAUUGAAUCUGUAACAGCAACCGAAUCAGCGCGACAGCCAAUCAUUGCAUUAUACGAGUCACUCACCGAUCGACAUUCGUUAGUCAAUCGUUCGUAUAAUUGUUGGGUUACAGUUGCCCAGUUAAGCUACAGCUUUGUAGUUGAAGUAUCAGAUAAACGUACAGUGUUAAAACGGCGAAAUGACACGUUGAAUGAAAGGAAUACAAUCAUUGUUAAUUAAAAGAUGAAAUUCAACAAAAUGCAUAAAAGAAUUUUUAUUAUACAACAAGUAUACAUCAAACAAUAUGAUAAUACGCCAUUGAUACUUUUAUUUAUCAUAUUCUCAUGAAAAUUAUAUUCUUCAGAAAAUUGCGUUCAAGAUAUUAGGAAACCAUUUCUAUAUUUACAAUUUUUAACAAUUAUUUCAUUAUCUCAUCCUUGAUAGUUCCUGACAAAUAUAAAAUCUGAAAAGCACAAAAUGAUGAUGACAAGUAAUGAUACAUCUGACGCGUAGACAUGUGAAGAUUACAGAGAUUAGAGUCGUCCCAUAGGUUGGGAGCGGCGGGAAUGUAAAGUUGUUGCUUUGUUACCUCGGUAAACAGUAGGAAAGCGGUGGAAAUUAGUCGUUCGGCUAGAGCCAGUGCCAGGAGUGGCACCACGAUAAUUAGGUUUCACUUGGUUCGCUUUAAUAAUCCAGACAACAUGCAAAGUGCAUUGCUGGGAUCCUUGCAUCCGUGAAAGCAUAGCAUAGCGAAGUGUCUGGUGUGCGUGACCAACGUUACGUUACCACGGCCUGGCCGCGGUGGGUGACAAAUUUUGCAAGGACAGCCGGAAUUAUUAAUGCCUUUUCCGCGGAGAGGCCGAGACGAGGCGCGAAAUUAGCAAGCCCGAAAGCGGUACACGGUGCACUACAAGCGAAUUCCAAUCGAGAUAAUGAAAAUUAACGACGUUAAAGCGACGUCACGCUCGUAAUUAAUUAUCGCGGCCCGUUUCCUAGUUGUCGAUCGGACUCUUGCGACAUCGAAUCCUUUUCGUAGGGAAGAACCAUAUAAUCGCGAUAUCAAUCCUUCAUUAAUUCCUUUGCUGAAAAAUAAACUCAUAUCGAAACUUUUCGCAACAGUGUUCGCGAUUAAUUCUUCAAGACGAUUUUUUAUAUCUAUAUAUGCAUGAAUCACUAGUUCUAUGAAUUAUACUUAUAUAUCAUAUCAUCAAUAUCCUUCCCGUAAAUUUUCUUACAGCGAAUAAUCGUGCUUUCAUUCGACAAGAAAAAUAAAAUAAAUAAACUUAAUUUCUAAUAAAUAUUAUUUUUAAAACGGUUAUAAUUUUGAUUGAAAAAAAAAUUUUCAAAUAAAAAAAAUUGUUCGUUAAAUAUUUAUUUCAUUGUUAAAUAUGUAUUUCAUUAUCCAUCUAUAAAAUUGAAUUCUGUUUAACUAUCAUCUUUCUUAAUAAAAAUAAGAUUCUUAUAUGUACAUCAAACUAUAUUUGAUUGAAGUAAGUUGUAUGAGUAAUAUCAAUCAACUUUGUUAUCUCAUUUAUCAUUUAUUUUAUAUAAUUUAUUUUCAUACAGAUUAUUUUUAUGCUUUGAUUUUAUUCUUUUUUAAAUUUUAUUCUUCGAUAACAUGAAAUUAUAUACAUCUUUUGCAAUCCAUUUAUCGCAUUAUCAGUUUAUAAAAUAUUGCUCAAUAUACUUUAAGCAUAUGUACUUAACUAAAAAAUAUUUCAUGCAAAGAUUUUAUUUUUGAGUGAUAUUUAUUUUGAAUUUGUAAUUAGAAUUUCAAAUUAUUUCUAUUUUAAAAUUUUUUAAUUUUUAUUUUGAAAUAAUAUAUGUUGUGCUAUAAUUAUAAGAUUAUAAAAUUAUAAGAUUAAAUGCAAUGUAUAUGAAUCAUUGAAGAGCAAAUGAGAAAUAUUAUUCAAUGCAAUUUAAAAAAAAUCUAAAUAUAUGUAAGAAGUUACAAAUAAUUUUUAUUUGCAUAUGAUAAAAAUAUAUUUAUAGGUGUUACCUAUUUAAGAAGAAUGCAAUUGAAAUCGCAUUAUUAAUCAGAAUUGUUGAAUAUUAUAUAAAAAUAAUUAUAGUAGACACUGAUUUUGAAACAUUAAUAAAAUUAUUUUUUUAUAAAUAAAAUAGAUUUUUAAACACU